GUGCUCACUCCAGCAGCCCAUAUACUAAAAUUGGAAUGAUACAGAGAAAAUUAGCAUGGCCCCUGUGCAAGGAUGACACCCAAAUUCAUGAAGCAUUCGAUGUUUUU
ensembl:snRNA U6 U6 spliceosomal RNA